UACAGAGGUCCCGAGCGUUGUUCGGAUUCAUUGGGCGUAAAGGGUGCGUAGGCGGCGCGGUAAGUCGGGUGUGAAAUCUCGGAGCUUAACUCCGAAACUGCAUUCGAUACUGCCGUGCUUGAGGACUGGAGAGGAGACUGGAAUUCAUGGUGUAGCAGUGAAAUGCGUAGAGAUCAUGAGGAAGACCAGUGGCGAAGGCGGGUCUCUGGACAGUUCCUGACACUGAGGCACGAAGGCCAGGGGAGCAAACGGG
rnacentral:rRNA from 1 species